UACGUAGGGUGCAAGCGUUGUCCGGAAUUAUUGGGCGUAAAGAGCUCGUAGGCGGUCUGUCGCGUCGGCUGUGAAAACCCGGAGCUCAACUCCGGGCCUGCAGUCGAUACGGGCAGACUGGAGUUCGGCAGGGGAGACUGGAAUUCCUGGUGUAGCGGUGAAAUGCGCAGAUAUCAGGAGGAACACCGGUGGCGAAGGCGGGUCUCUGGGCCGAUACUGACGCUGAGGAACGAAAGCGUGGGGAGCGAACAGG
rnacentral:rRNA from 1 species